rnacentral:rRNA from 1 species
ACAGCAGUAGCCGCGGGAAAACGAAGGGGGCUAGCGUUGUUCGGAAUUACUGGGCGUAAAGCGCACGCAGGCGGCUCGAUAAAUUAGAAGUGAAAGCCUUGGGCUUAACCUGAGAAUUGCUUUUAAGACUGUCGAGCUAGAAUCCAGAAGAGGGUAGUGGAAUUCCGAGUGUAGAGGUGAAAUUCGUAGAUAUUCGGAAGAACACCAGUGGCGAAGGCGACUACCUGGUCUGGCAUUGACGCUCAUGUGCGAAAGCGUGGGGAGCAAACAGGAUUAGAUACCCCUGUAGUCCCUGUCUCUUAUAC